AUAGAGAUCCCACGGCACAUGUCCACAAAGGACUUGGUGGCAAAUAGCCUCGCUUCACAAGCAGUUCGGCAGCAGGCAGAACCGCUUCUACUAGAUCAAUAAUACUUGGGGAAAGGAGAGAUUCUUAUAGUGGAAGGUGCUUGCCUAAGGACCGAGAAAUCAAAGAAAAGGAUUGCAUAGCAGGAGUUAAUUUCUGAGAGGGACUUCAGUGCAGAGUACAUCAUGACUUGUUUGCUUCCACCGCUUCGAUUUCCUGCAAUUCCCGGAAUCCCUGCUGACAAUCCCCAGACAACAUGUGGAUUAUUUGUACGGGUUAUUUGUGUGUAGGUGAAGACUAUAAUAGAGGUGGAAUAAUAAACCCAGAGGGAGCAAUGAGUCCUGUUCUGCAGAUGAAUACACAGGAUGUCUUGUGACAGGAUUGCAUUGUGGUCCAUUAAGGACCCCCGAGUAAUUUAUCACUUUAUUGUCCCGCUUUGGUUUAGCUAAUGGGGAAAAGAAUGUGGGACUGGUAUCAAAAAUGGAUGUUUCCUGUUGAUGUAUUAGAUCGUAAAAGUUCUCCAUUUCCUUGAGGUUUCAGUUAAAAAACAUCUCCUGGUGA